rnacentral:rRNA from 1 species
GUACUCCGGGGAUAACAGGCUGAUACCGCCCAAGAGUUCAUAUCGACGGCGGUGUUUGGCACCUCGAUGUCGGCUCAUCACAUCCUGGGGCUGAAGUAGGUCCCAAGGGUAUGGCUGUUCGCCAUUUAAAGUGGUACGCGAGCUGGGUUUAGAACGUCGUGAGACAGUUCGGUCCCUAUCUGCCGUGGGCGUUGGAAGAUUGAGAGGGGUUGCUCCUAGUACGAGAGGACCGGAGUGAACGCACCACUGGUGUUCGGGUUGUCAUGCCAAUGGCAUUGCCCGGUAGCUAAGUGCGGAAGAGAUAACCGCUGAAAGCAUCUAAGCGGGAAACUUGCC